UACGGAGGGUGCAAGCGUUAUCCGGAAUUAUUGGGCGUAAAGAGUGCGUAGGUGGUUUUGUAAGCGCGGGGUGAAAGGCUAUGGCUCAACUAUAGUAAGCCCUGCGAACUGUGAGACUUGAGUGCAGGAGAGGAAAGUGGAAUUCCUAGUGUAGCGGUGAAAUGCGUAGAUAUUAGGAGGAACACCAGUGGCGAAGGCGACUUUCUGGACUGUAACUGACACUGAGGCACGAAAGCGUGGGGAGCAAACAGG
rnacentral:rRNA from 1 species